rnacentral:lncRNA from 1 species
UGGGGCAGGGACGAGUCAGCUCAGGGGGUUCCUCGGGGAGGAGUUUGCUGGGUGUGGGUGUGCUUAAUUGAGUCUUUAUUUCCAUUUCGGGAAGCACCUAAACUCGUUUUCUAGGCUUCCUUGCUGAAUCUGCAGUUUUGAAGGUUAUCCACUCAUCUAUUUAUUCAACAAAUGUUUAUUGAGCACCUACUAUCUGCCAGGUAGCAGGGCCAAUCUUGGCCCUAAAGUUCUGAGCUGGGAGUAAAGAAUACUGAGGGAAAGCCUGUGAAACGUAAGGAGGCCUUGCUGCACCAGAUAGGAUUUUGGCUGCAAGCAACAGAAAGCGGUUCCGAUUAACUUAGGCAAAAAGGAGUUUCCUGCAAGCUGCUGGGGCACCGUACCCGCCUAAAGGAAAGCCGUGCUGCCAGGCCUUGGGAAGGAGACUCAGCGCAGCACUAGCAGCCCCCCUCCCCGGCCCACUGGAGGGCCAAGUCUCUGGGGGGAGAACAUGACAGGAGGAUACUAUGAGAAGGCAGCUGUCUGCAACCUGGAAGAAGGUCCUCACCAGAGCCCAGCCAUGCUGGCACCUCAGUCUCAGACUUCCAGCCUCCAGAACUGUGACAAAUAAGUGUCUGCUGGUUCUAAACCACCCAGUCUGUAGGACUUUGUUAUAGCAGGUGAGCUGACACCUUUGCAAGAACUGGG